rnacentral:rRNA from 1 species
GACGAACGCUGGCGGCGUGCUUAACACAUGCAAGUCGAACGGAAAGGCCCUGCUUUUGUGGGGUGCUCGAGUGGCGAACGGGUGAGUAGCACGUGAGUAACCUGCCCUUGACUUUGGGAUAACUUCAGGAAACUGGGGCUAAUACCGGAUAGGAGCUCCUGCUGCAUGGUGGGGGUUGGAAAGUUUCGGCGGUUGGGGAUGGACUCGCGGCUUAUCAGCUUGUUGGUGGGGUAGUGGCUUACCAAGGCUUUGACGGGUAGCCGGCCUGAGAGGGUGACCGGCCACAUUGGGACUGAGAUGCGGCCCAGACUCCUACGGGAGGCAGAAGUGGGGAAUAUUGCACAAUGGGCGGAAGCCUGAUGCAGCAACGCCGCGUGCGGGAUGACGGCCUUCGGGUUGUAAACCGCUUUCGCCUGUGACGAAGCGUGAGUGACGGUAAUGGGUAAAGAAGCACCGGCUAACUACGUG